rnacentral:rRNA from 1 species
UACGGAGGGGGCAAGCGUUGUCCGGACUUACUGGGCGUAAAGGGUGCGUAGGCGGCCUGCUGCGUCGGUGCUGGAAAGCGCCCGGCUUAACCGGGCGAGGCGUGCCGAUACGAGCGGGCUGGAGCCUUGGCGAGGGUGGCGGAACUCCUGGUGUAGUGGUGAAAGUGCGUAGAGAUCAGGAAGAACACCCGUGGCGGCAAGCGGCCCAC